rnacentral:rRNA from 1 species
UACGUAGGGUGCAGGCGUUAAUCGGAAUUACUGGGCGUAAAGCGUGCGCAGGCGGUCUGCUAAGAGAGAUGUGAAAUCCCCGGGCUUAACCUGGGAACUGCGUUUCUAACUGGCAGGCUAGAGUGUGGCAGAGGGGGGUGGAAUUCCACGUGUAGCAGUGAAAUGCGUAGAGAUGUGGAGGAACACCGAUGGCGAAGGCAGCCCCCUGGGCUAAUACUGACGCUCAUGCACGAAAGCGUGGGGAGCAAACAGG